UACGUAGGGACCGAGCGUUGUCCGGAAUCAUUGGGCGUAAAGAGCGUGUAGGCGGCCACUUAAGUCCUGCGUGAAAUCUUGCGGCUCAACCGCAAGCGGUCGUGGGAAACUGGGUGGCUAGAGUGCGGGAGAGGAGAGUGGAAUUCCUGGUGUAGCGGUGGAAUGCGCAGAUAUCGGGAGGAACACCAAUGGCGAAGGCAGCUCGCUGGGACGUUACUGACGCUGAGACGCGAAAGCGUGGGGAGCAAACAGG
rnacentral:rRNA from 1 species